UACGUAGGGCGCGAGCGUUGUCCGGAAUUAUUGGGCGUAAAGAGCUUGUAGGCGGUUUGUCGCGUCUGCUGUGAAAGGCCGGGGCUUAACCCCGUGUAUUGCAGUGGGUACGGGCAGACUAGAGUGCAGUAGGGGAGACUGGAAUUCCUGGUGUAGCGGUGGAAUGCGCAGAUAUCAGGAGGAACACCGAUGGCGAAGGCAGGUCUCUGGGCUGUAACUGACGCUGAGAAGCGAAAGCAUGGGGAGCGAACAGGAUUAGAUAC
rnacentral:rRNA from 1 species